GACGAACGCUGGCGGCGUGCCUAAUACAUGCAAGUAGAACGCUGAAGGAGGAGCUUGCUUCUCUGGAUGAGUUGCGAACGGGUGAGUAACGCGUAGGUAACCUACCUGGUAGCGGGGGAUAACUAUUGGAAACGAUAGCUAAUACCGCAUAAGAGUAGAUGUCGCAUGACAUUUGCUUAAAAGGUGCAAUUGCAUCACUACCAGAUGGACCUGCGUUGUAUUAGCUAGUUGGUGAGGUAACGGCUCACCAAGGCAACGAUACAUAGCCGACCUGAGAGGGUGAUCGGCCACACUGGGACUGAGACACGGCCCAGACUCCUACGGGAGGCAGCAGUAGGGAAUCUUCGGCAAUGGACGGAAGUCUGACCGAGCAACGCCGCGUGAGUGAAGAAGGUUUUCGGAUCGUAAAGCUCGGUUGUAAGAGAAGAACGAGUGUGAGAGUGGAAAGUUCACACUGUGACGGUAUCUUACCAGAAAGGGACGGCUAACUACGUG
rnacentral:rRNA from 1 species